AAAGAAGAUUGGAGAGGCUUUAAAACUACUGAAAUUGAUUACAACUGAGGCAUGGAGAAUUCAGUGUCCUCUCCAGUUGCUAACUAGUCCAGAUUAUAUGCAACAGGCUAUAGAUAAUUGGGGAUUUUGCAAAUAAACUCUUUGCAGGCUGAUUGUAAAGUGUGCUCUGCGGUGUGUUUGUGAAAAUUAUCAAGAAACAUCACAUAUUAAUAAAAAGAUUGAGGAGAUGUGGCAGAGGGUCAUUUCUAUAGAAUCGAAAGAGAUAAAAGCCACAAGGGCUGAAGAUUUCUUAUUGCAGUCUUGUACUUAACAUUUGAACUCCACAAAUAAUUAAAAGAUACAAAAAAAAACCCCACAAUUAUCAGCCCGUCCAUAGGCUGAAUUUAUUAUAAUAAUGAUAAUAAAAUAGGCAACCAUCACCUUUAUUUAACGCCUAACAUUGAACAUAUCAUGAAUAAAAAACACUCUAUAUUGCCCUCUGCUUGCUGCAGUGAUAUAUCACAAGGAUCAACGAAGAAUCUUGCACCUCUGUUUUAUUUGCCUUGCCAACAAACCUUAAUCACAUCUUCACUUGCUAGUUGCUUGGACCUGCAACUCCCUCUUCUUUGUAGUGAUUUUGUAUGACUGUGUUAAAGUCUGUUCCAUCGAGCAGUAUGUCACUGUUGUUUACUUUGACCACCUUCAACUUUGGUGUGCUCUGGUUUCCAUCAGAAGCAGCAAAUGUCUUCAUUUUAGGGCAAUUGCUCACCUCUACCAUUUCCAAGGAUGGCCAUUUGAAAGGUAAGUUAUCCAUACAAAAAGCCUUAAGAUUGAGAAGUGUGCGUAGUGAAAGCUUUAUUAAUUGAUAGAACACCACAUUGUCAAUCGUCUCCUCCCCUUCUCGCCUUUCUGCAACAAUUGCUUCUAAUUCAUCACAAUCACACAAAUCCAGUUCUUUCAGACGCUCAAGUCCUUGAGCAAUAGAAGCAGGAAAGAUAACUCUCAAUUUCUUGCACGAUUCUAUCUUUACAAUUUGUAGAUUGUGCAGGUGCAACAACUCACUAGGGCUCUCCCAUAUAUGCUUCAUUCCUUCCAAAGAUUUCAGAUGAAGUUCUCUUAUAGAAAGAGGCGUUCCUUUUUUUUCAAAUAUACACUCCAAUGCAUUGCAAUGAUAAACUUCAAGAGCUUCAAGUUGCUUAAAUUGUUGCUGUGGAUUGAAUGGAGCGAAAACAUUCGACAAUUCCCCACAGCUAGAAAAGUACAAGCGUUUGAGCUUACUCAUGGACGAGGAAAUUUCAGGAGGUAGUUCAGUGUUGCAUAAUGCUUUGAAGGUUUUCAGUUGCUCGAGAUAUAGUUCUUCCAGUUCCAACAAAUAAGCGUACCUUAUCUGCCAUUCUUCAACAUUGAUCAGGUACUCGAAAUUAGCACAACUGUCAAUUUUCAUGCUCCUCAAACCAGCUAAACCAUCUCCGUUUGAAAAUAAUAAGCAUGGAAUGAUAUUCCUUAAAUCCUCAAAAUAUACUAAAUAUAGAUAAUUUGUUCUUGGCAGUAACGGCUUGAAGCAACCUAGCGAGGAAAUUGUGGCAUCAGAAAGAACCAGAUAGUUGGACUCGUGAGACAAAAUCAUUCCUUUCAUGUAUCCUAUUGCUCCGUAGGGUAUCCAUCUUGCCAAAUGAAUUUUGAAAAACUUCAAAUUUGGGAAUAUGAAGCCUUCAGGAAUAGUUCGAAUGGUAAUUGUAAGGGUAGUCAAGCGAGACAAGGAUUUCAACUCAGUUAUGUCGAAGUCAUCAAAUAGCAAUCUCGCACUCAUGUACAUAGCUGAGAAGGCACUCGAAAAAUCAAAAGCAAGCUUGUACAAUUCCUCUAACUGGGAUGAACUAGAUAUAGCAUUGGUUGGAAAUAUGGAAGAGAUGCGCCUAGAAUGAGAACAAUAUUCCACAUCCAGCAACUUUAGCUUAGUCAACUUCGUUAUUGUACUGAAUGGCUCCCGGAACUGACACCUUUUGAAGUCAAGAAUUUCAAGCAUCUUCAGUUCCCCAAUUGCUGUAGCGUCGCCAAUCAGAUAAUCCUGAAGAAUCAGUGUCCGGAGAUUGGUUAAUUGACCAAAUUCUUGUUUCAAGUGCCCAUUGAAAGAACUACCACGCCGAAGGCCUCCCAGAUGAAAAACUUCAAGGGCUUUCAUCCCUAACAAGACUGCAUUUGGCAUACUCGACGGCUCAAUGUGAUCAUAAAUGUCUCGCAUCAACAAUAUCUUGAGAUUUGGGCAAUCCCAAGCAUCAGGAAAUUGAGAAAUCUCAUUUUGAGUUAUUGAGAUGCCAGUGAAAAUCUUCAUAUCUUCUGCACUUGGCCAACACUCCAACUGCUUGAAACCGUCUCUCACAAAAUAAUCUGAUGCCAUUGAUAAAGCAACAUCACGCACAACAUCAUGCAUUUUGACGCAGCCUUCUUUAUCACUUUCCAAUAACAAACAGGAAGCUUUCAGGUUUUUUAUGAUAGCAAUAGCAUUUCGUCUUGCAUCCUCCAUUCUCACAACAUCUUCGAAUAUCUUCAGUCCAACUCCAUAUCUUACCAGGUCUUCUACUGGAAUGUUAAAAUCCUCAGGAAAUAAACUGCACAACUUCAAAACUUUCUUGGCUUCCUCAUUUUGAAGGUAAUCAUAGCUUAACUGGAGGCAUCUGUACACAUCUUUAUGCAUCCCUUCAAUAAAUUGUGGCUGUGAUUUCUUAAGCUUCUCAACUGCUACUCGCCAUUCGUCAGGAUCUUUGCCUCUCAUUGCCCUUCCCACCGUAACAAGAGUUAUAGGCAGGCCUCCACAUUCUCUGAUAAUCUCUUUUGCCAAAGAAUUCAACGUUGGAGACUCGAUAUCAUCGCCAGCAUUCUUUUUAAGCAAUACCCAUGAUUCUUUCUCCGAUAAAAUAUUAAUAGGGAUUAUCUUUGCAGUCACGCUUCUUUUGUCGACCAUAGCAUCGCAUACUUGUCUACGACGUGUUGUGACCAUAAUUUUGCAGCUUGCAUAAUCAUGGCCAAAUGGAAUGCCCACAGUUGCAAGGUCAAGUCUAGCCCACAAAUCAUCCAAGAUAAUGAGGACUUUAUUCUCGUUCUUCAGUCUGGCAUGCAACAGGCUUACUCGAUCUUGUUCAUUACUUAUCUCUUUCAAUUUCAAACCCAACCUCUCUGCUAUCUGGUCUUGAAUCUUUUUCACAUCAACGGUUUGUGAAACCACAACCAUUGCAAUAGUAGCAAAAAGCCUUCCCUCUUGAGCCCUUUUAAUAACUUCUUUCACCAGAGUGGUUUUACCCACCCCUCCCAUUCCGUGUAUCCCAAUGAAAUUGGUUUUGUUGUCCUUCAAAGCCCCCAUAAUCUCCUCUAUAACCAAUUCUGUGCUUUCGAAAAUCACAACAUCUUGAGAUGGAAACUCUAUAAUUGGUGGAGGUGCGGGAUUGGAAACUCUAUCAAACUUGCUAUCACUUUUCAAAUCUUUUAUUGCAAUUGUUAUCUUUUGAGCUUUCCUGCUUAGCUGAUAACGUGAAGCCAAAUUAUGAAACCUUGCUUUGGAAGCCUCAUCAUGAAGUUUCUUAGCCUCCAACAGGAUCUCAUCAACCUCUGAUGUCCAAUUCUGAACCUCAUUUCUGAUGACCUCACAAUUCCUUUCUGCUGCAUCAAUAGAUGCCUGUACGUCUUUCCUCACUCCUUCAAGUAUUUGAACUUGCUUCUGAAGAGUCUCAAUGUUACUGCUGUAGCGAAUAAAAUAGCCAAACUGUCUACCGAUUGGCUCAAUCAAGAGUUCUCCAAAUUUUCCAGCGACAGAAAUCACAACAUCCAUGGCUAUACUGUCUGUGGACUGUCCUGUUUUUUGAUAGCUUCCAGCUGCCAAGAAAUUUCAAAUAAAUAAAUAGCCAAUGUAUAUA
rnacentral:misc_RNA from 1 species